rnacentral:rRNA from 1 species
CGAACGCUGGCGGCGUGCUUAACACAUGCAAGUCGAACGCGAAAGGGACUUCGGUCCUGAGUAAAGUGGCGCACGGGUGAGUAACGCGUAGAUAACCUGUCUUCAUGUCUGGAAUAAUACGCCGAAAGGGGUACUAAUACCGGAUAUUCUUGCUUUUCAUAAGUUAUGCAAGCAAAGGUGGCCUCUGCAUAUGCUACUGCAUGAAGAGGGGUCUGCGUACCAUUAGCUAGUAGGUGGGGUAAUGGCCUACCUAGGCGACGAUGGUUAGCGGGUCUGAGAGGAUGAUCCGCCACACUGGCACUGGAACACGGGCCAGACUCCUACGGGAGGCAGCAGUGAGGAAUAUUGCGCAAUGGGGGAAACCCUGACGCAGCGACGCCGCGUGAGUGAAGGAAGGCCUUCGGGUCGUAAAGCUCUGUCAAGAGGAAAGAAGUGUACGAUGGCUAAUACCUGUUGUAUUUGACGGUACCUCUAAAGGAAGCACCGGCUAACUCCGUGCCAGCCGCAGC